CCUGGAUUUGUAUGUUAGGCCAGGACAGGGGGCCAAAUCAUCUCCAGUCGGAUUCCAGUGACUCCUGUAACCAAAACCAGUUCUUCACAAUUUAUUCAUUUUUUUAAUCACACACCAUAUGGUUUCAAUGCAUUUUUUUAUUCAAUUCAAAAGAAUUUAACAAGUUAACUUUUCCCAAACAAAAGUUUUCAUGUGUAUUCUACCGUUUUUAGGAGCUCAGUAAAUAUAAACAUUGUUUCAAUACAAAACCUUUAAAAACACCUUGAAAAUGUUUAAACAGUUGUAUUUUGCAUGUCUUUGUUUGUAAUCACUGAGCCCAUACAAAUCCUUGCACUACUAACAGUCACAAGCUUGAACCUCUUAAAAAAUAUCCUCGAUCAAAGCUUUGGAAUCCAGAAAAAAUUAGGAAACGAGUGGGCUUCAGAAUACCCUGAGCACAAACUAGUGCAACACCACAUGUUCGAACUUCUGUCCAGAAAGAGGGGUGACAGUGAAAUAGAAAAAGGGGGAGAUAAAGAACAAGUAAAUUCUGGCUUUAUUACACAAGCACGAAACCAAAUUCCUUUGGAAAAAUAAUGUCUUCGGAGGACUUCCAGACCAGUGAGGUAGAGUCCAACAGUGAGAAAACGGAUCUGCCCCUAAGGUCCUGGAGACGUCUCAAUCGGGGGUCAGGAAGAAAGGGACCUCCCCUGCGGGUCCAGCUGUCCCCUCCCUCCGCAGGCCGGGUACGGGAGGCAGCAGAGGACACACCUGCCCCGGCGUCCAAGACGACCGCGCCGCGGCCCGGGACAGGGACAACCAUCCGGCAACUUCUUCGCGCGUAAAGUGCACUGGGGGCCGGGGUCCUGGCCGGAUCUGUAAACACUCGACUGACACUUGUUCAUUCCUCCGGGCGGAAGGUCUGUCCCAAGGUCGGGGCCGGCAGGAGGCGCCCUGGAGGCCGCGCCUCAUGCCCGGGGCACCGGGAAGCGGCGGAGCCUCACCGUGGGUUCCAGGUUCACUCGCAGGACCUGGCGCGCCCUGCGCCGCGCUGCCGCCAGGCUGCGCUCGCCCCACACGUCGCUGCCGACACGGAUGGUGGGGAAGGUGGUCAGCGUCGGGGUGGCCGCCCUCCAGAUCUCCUCCAAGACGUCCUUGCUGCGCAGGAUGUGCGGGGAGAACUGGUGCUUGAGGCUGCAGAGGAAGCUCCAGAGCUCCGCGUCCGAGCUCAUGAACUCCGUGCUGCGGGGCAUGAAGAGCUUGAAGGCGUCGCCCAGCGCCUUGGUGCUGUCAGCCAGCGACAGUUGCGACCGCGAGUACACCACCUUCUCCUCCC
rnacentral:lncRNA from 1 species